GACGAACGCUGGCGGCGUGCCUAAUACAUGCAAGUCGAACGCAGUGGGGACGGGUGAGCAACACGUGGGUAACCUCCCAUCAGAGGGGAUAACACUUGGAAACAGGUGCUAAACCGAUACUGAUGGAUGGACCCGGGGUGCAUUAGCUAGUUGGUGAGGUAACGGCUCACCAAGGCCACGAUGCAUAGCCGAGCUGAGAGGGUGAUCGGCCACACGGGGACGGAGACACGGCCCAGACUCCUACGGUAGGCAGAAGUAGGGAAUCUUGGGCAAUGGAGGAAAGUCUGACCGAGCAAGGCCGCGUGGGUGAAGAAGGUUUUCGGAUGGUAAAACUCUGUUGUUAGAGAAGCGGUAUCUAACGAGAAAGCCACGGCUAACUACGUGCCAGCAGCCGCGGUAAUAC
rnacentral:rRNA from 1 species